GACGAACGCUGGCGGCGUGCCUAAUACAUGCAAGUCGAACGCUUUUUCUUUCACCGGAGCUUGCUCCACCGAAAGAAAAAGAGUGGCGAACGGGUGAGUAACACGUGGGUAACCUGCCCAUCAGAAGGGGAUAACACUUGGAAACAGGUGCUAAUACCGUAUAACACGAUUUUCCGCAUGGAAGAAAGUUGAAAGGCGCUUUUUCGUCACUGAUGGAUGGACGCGGGGUGCAGUAGCUAGGUGGUGGGGUAACGGCUCACCAAGGCAACGAUGCAUAGCCGACCUGGGAGGGUGAUGGGCCACACUGGGACUGAGACACGGCCCAGACUCCUACGGGAGGCAGCAGUAGGGAAUCUUCGGCAAUGGACGAAAGUCUGACCGAGCAACGCCGCGUGAGUGAAGAAGGUUUUCGGAUCGUAAAACUCUGUUGUUAGAGAAGAACAAGGAUGAGAGUAAAAUGUUCAUCCCUUGACGGUAUCUAACCAGAAAGCCACGGCUAACUACGUGCCAGCAGCCGCGGUAA
rnacentral:rRNA from 1 species